UGACCCCGAUCUCCUGGAGCAGUACGACAGCUGGCCAGACCUGUACUCGACGAGGUCGAGUUUUUCUCAUCCGGAAGGAGUUGAUGGGGACAUCAGAGCCCUUCAUCCAGAUGAUCCUGAGCCUCUGGAUUGAGUCUGACCUGGAUUGGGUCCAUUUGAGUCCGAGUCAUUUUCUUUUAUUGCAUUAUUUGCUUUUAUUUUAGUCAAGUCAAUUGGGUCAGUUGUUUUAUUAUUAGACUAGUCAAUUGGGUUUAUGUAAUUGGGUCAA
rnacentral:lncRNA from 1 species